GGCAGCGGAUAGCUGAGCGCGGAGCCGGCAGGGCGCAGAGCCCGCUGCCCGGCCGGGAAGGGCCCAGAGCGCGCGAGCAGGCUGGGUGGCAGAGGCUGCCGCGGCCGUUUCGGGAAAGUCCGUCUGAUUCGCCACGCAUUCUUGAGGACUUGGUCACCCGCUCCUGCCCCCUUCCCAGUAGCAGCAUAGUUUUCCGAGUGCGUGUACAUCAUUCAUUCACAAAGACUGACACACAGGACGUGAGGCAUGCGGAGGAAGGGGCGUGCGUGCGAGCGGGCGCAGGGGGUUCUGGAGCCAGUGUCCUCCAAGGGCUUUGGGAGUCCUGGACUCUCGCCGGUUAGUGAGUCAGGAUUCGGUGCUGUUUCUGGAGAAGCCUUCGAUUUUUCAGAGACCCCCCCUCCCCCCCGUGUCAUGAUUAAGAAAUAAGUUAGGAAAAGCCGGAGGCAGCGUUCCUGAGCAGAAUUCUCGCGGACCUUGAGAAGGAUCAAGCCCAAAGCAGCCUACGGGAGACCCCAAAACAAAGGCCCAAAUGCUUAUGUAUUAUGGGGAGAGCAGCGAACAGGGCCCCCAAACUGGAAUCCAGUCAUGGGCUUCCGUAAAACUGACAACCCUACUACUGCCACCACCACCAGCAAAAAAAGUGAUGCAGAGGCUCUGUGGUUUUGAACUUCUGGAGUACAUCAUUCGCAGCUGUGACAGAAUCACAACGCACAGCCCCUGUUCCAUUUGGGAAUUCCAGACACUUCGGACACCACAACACGAUCCCAGAUAAUUAAUGACUGCACUAAUACUUUGGUUAUCGUGUGAGAAAACAAUGCUGGCCUCCAGAUGACAAGAACAGACACUUUUGAUCCUGGGAAAAAACCGGAGGAAACGGCUGGAAGAAUGAAUUGGAUAUUUACACGUCCAAAGGAGCAGCAAAAGAAAGGAUCUUGAACCCAUCCUGCCUUGCCUGCUCUGAAUACAUCAGCAAAAGAACUGAGCAAAUCAAGAGUUGCUUUGGGGAAUCUUGUUUUAUUGAUGUGUUAAGAAAAUGCUGUUAUUUUUAAAUCCAAGUGUGAGUACUUUUCUACUUGCAAACAAAGCUGCCUCAGAGCCAGUCUUCUCUCUUCCCCAGAAUCCUCUUCAGCUUUCUUCCCCAGGCUAGCCUGAACCCUGCUGCCAACACCCCCCACCAUCAGACACUAAAAGAACCCACCAGGAUCCAACCGGAAGCACUUUCCACUCCACUCCCGCAGUGGGGGAAUUCAUUCCUUUGGUUCUUCAACAAUGACAUCUCACCUUGUCCAUCACCCUUUUGUAACCCAGUCCUGUUGCAGGGAAGCUCAAAAUAUUUGAAGGUCCGAAUCAAGGAAGGGGGUUAGGGAAGACAGGAGGGUGGGGGAGAUAGCCAGGGGCCGCCACAGACCUCCAGGAAAUCUCCUUCUACUUGAGGUUGAUUGUGAACAGUGAAGUUAUCACGAAUUAUGCAUCUAACUUCGGAUCUAACUGAAACUUCGCUUGGGACAAGGGGCACUGAUGUAAACAAGUUAAAAUAUGUUCACAAAUGUGGGAUAUUAAUAACCCAAUCGGGCCUGCAAGUAUCAAAUCAAUGUUGAUAAAUGAAAUUUGCAUUCUCUUUACGACAUGAGUAGAUUCUUGUAAAUGUUCUACUUAACUUAGAUGGCACUUCUAUCUUACCGGAGCCUAAAAAACAAUCCCUAGCCCAGUGCCUGACACAUUGCAGACACUCAGGAAAUAUCUAUUCAGUAAUGAACUAUAUCAACUUCCUGGUCACUAGGAGCGUCUACUUUGCCACCAACUCUCUCUAACUCAAAGGUUUAAGUGAAGGUGGUUCUGCUAUGGCUUGUGAAGAUGAACUUAACCAUGUAAGCUACUCUGCCCCUAGGUCUGCCCUGUGUCCCCCACGUCAGAGCAGAACCCCUAUUCCCCAGCAUUCGUGCCCACUCAGGUUCACUUAUGCCUCAGUUUCCCCACCGGCAAAACAAGAGCAGCUGGGCCUUGCCUUCCAGCUACUUAGGCAAGUUGUUCCAACUUGUGAGGCACUCCAGAAAAAUCAACCAAGGAAAUACUUCCUUGCUUUUGUUUGUAAUGCAGCAGUCUGAUCCUCCUACACUUGGGAGAAAACAGGAUUGUAUUUUUAAACAUUCCUAAGCCCUAGGGAAUUACACCCAGCAAGCGCUAAAACUCCCUAAACUAGGAACUUCAUGUCAAUAAGGGUCAAAACAGGGCUGCAAGAGUUGGGGGACAGGGGUGUGCAGUUAGACAUUAAUGAUCUCGAGCAACUAGUCACAUUUUUAUAAGAAUUCCCUCACAUGCAUAGAUGUCCAAGACAUUAACUUUCUCUUUACUACUCCGCCCCUCAACUCCACACCAGCCUCAAUAAAAAAGAAAGAUAAAAAUACACCAGAUUUCAAACAGUCAUGGAAGACAGACUCUCCCUCUCCACAAGUGUGCUAGAAUAAGUUAUUUGUCUCUUUCUUGAAUCUUAAACUUCACCAAACCAAAGAACCUCUGAGUUUUGAGCUAAAAUGUGCUGUCUUGGAGGUAGGUGCAAAAAACAUUCAGACCACUAACGGCUGAUCCAGAACAAGUUUAUGACUCACAGAUGUUGAUUUACAGGUUCAAAUGUAAGAUUAAAAAAAAAGUCCUCAAUUAACAACCUGUCUGAGUUGCAUUUGUGGUUGUUUUUUCUCUGAGAAAAGGCAACAGUCCCCGUCGCACACAGGGACCUAGAAACAGGCCUCUAAAACUUCACUCUAAAGCAAGUGGUUUCUCCGUGAUAAGUUGAGUCAUUAAAAAAAGCACA